GGAGACUUCAUUAGUUCCACUUGACCUACCUAAAAUUGAGAAAUCAAAGCAUAUUCCUAUUAUUGGUACAGUUCAUAUGGUUCUUUCGAAUAUCAGUAUUGAUAAUAUUCGUGUGAUUUCUUCGACUGUGAAAGCUGGUGAUACGGGUAUUGUUAUUAGUGUUUCUGGUGCUUAUGCGAAUAUGACCAUGAAUUGGGAAUAUUCAUAUUCGAAUUGGUGGCUUCCUGUUCCUAUUGCGGAUAAUGGAAAAGCUUCUAUUCAGGUUGAAGGUAUGGAUGUUGGAAUUUCUUUCAAUCUGACGAAUGUCCAAGGAUCUCUUAUGCUAUCUCCCCUGGACUGUGGAUGUUCAGUGAAAGAUAUAUUUAUAAAGUUGGAUGGUGGAGCAUCCUGGCUAUAUCAAGGGUUAAUUGACGCUUUUGAAGGUAGAUUAUCUUCUGCCGUAGAAAACGCCAUUUCAAAGAAAUUGAGAGAAGGAAUUGUGAAGCUUGAUUCUUCAUUGCAGUCCCUACCAAAGGAAAUUCCAAUAAGAAACAUUGCUGCUUUAAAUGUUACCUUUGUUGGUAACCCACAAUUUAGAGACUCGUCUCUUGUUCUUUCAAUUAAUGGGUUAAUUAGUGCCAAGGAAGCAUACACAGUACCUCCUUACUAUCACUUAUUUGCGUCUCUAGAACACUUAUUAGCGUCAAUUCCUUUGAAGGAUCCGGAAAGCAUGGUUACUAUUUCCUUGCAUGAAAAAGUUUUAGCGUCUGCAUCAGCUGUUUACUAUGAUGCCAAUAAAAUGCACUGGAUUGUUGACAAAGUACCCGAACAGUCCUUGUUAAACACAGCUGGAUGGAGGUUCAUUAUCC
rnacentral:misc_RNA from 1 species